UUUAGUCACUUGAUAUCAGUAAUUUUUUUUAUGCUAAAACGUUUGCCUUCAGGAUUGUUAUGCCAAAAAAAUUUUUUUUUUAAAUUGUGAAACAUUGAUAUCGUUUGUCAUACUUUGACAAUCCGGUGGUAGGCCUAAUAUUGUGAAAAUAAAAAUGCUAAAGAAAAAAAAGUUAUUCAUAAAUAAUUAUUUUGGUUUGUUUUUAAGUUAAAAUAGUGAAAGUCUGUGCAAAGGCUGUAUCAUUACAUUUUCAGGAACAUCACACCGCGCACUCUUUCAAAGAUAUACGAGUUCCGCUCAAAGAUAUACGAGUUCCGCAACAGCCUCUAAUAAAAAAAAAAAAAUGCGUGUUUCUUGUCAGACUGCUUAUCUUGUUCCAUAUAUAAACAAUGCUCUUCAGAUGAGCGGCCCGAAAUAGUCUGUAAUCUGUGUGCACGCUGUUACAAAGAUCACCACGUGCUUUUCCUUCCCCUUCAGGUCCGGUUACCAUAGCGACGACCAAGCAAAUCCGUGAUUGGUUGCUUAGGCGUGACGCAGGAUGCAUUUAGGGAAUCCCGUCAGCUGUGCUGCGGCACGUUUCAAAACUCUCCAGCGCACUCUCUUCUAGCGCGGUGCGACUUUAGCGUUACUCGGGAUCAGAGCACACGCUGCUUGAGUUAUUGUGCGAGAGGAAGAUGUGUCAUGUGCAGCAAGGGAGCAAGACAGCGUUGACUUUGUGAAUAAAUCAUUUAUAACCUGCGGGAACAUCCAGAAGCCGAAAGGAAAGAGGUUCAAAAUCCCGACGUUUUCUGUUCGAGACAGGUAUGUUCUCAGAUGCCUUGGAGGCUGUAGGACAGGUGGAGGGUUUGACGCUGUCCCCUCCACAGACUCUCCCAGACCCCCGAUGAUGAGGUGGAGCUGGGCACCGAAACAAAAAGACGAGGCAGAUAUCGCCAAAGCUUACAGAUACUCAAGCCCUUUCGGAUCACACACAAACAUCAGCACCCGGUGGACAAUGCAGGAUUUUUCUCCUUCAUGACCCUGCAAUGGCUGUCCCCUCUGGCAUGGAGGGCCCACAAAGAGUCCUGUCUCAAGAUAGAAGACGUGUGGGGUCUGUCUUGCCACGAAGCCUCAGAAACGAACUGCCAAAGGUGAGCUACUGGCCAAAACCUUCUGAUCCAAGGUUUGUCUGCUGAUUUUUAAAACAAAUUAACAAAAAAACCUAUAAUAAUUAGAUACAAAUUAAUGAUAAAAUUAUUCCUAUUUAAGCCAGCAAAUAACUGCACUAACACAUUUAUUAAUACUGGACACCAGGGGGCGCCCUCAUGCGGAAACUUCACAUAUGCAUCACAGAAGUAAUAAAACUCAUGACAUUCCAGGAAAUCCCUAAUAUGGACAAUUGUAUCCAGCUAUCACUGUGACUGAGUAAAAACAAGAUAGAAACGCUUGAACCAAUUAAACAUUUAGACAGUAAACACAUGACGCAUCAAUACAGGCUUUUUCUGUGUUCUUCAAGCCGUCUUGAGUAUUUUUAUAAUAAUAAGAAUCCAAUGCUUAUCGA
rnacentral:lncRNA from 1 species